rnacentral:rRNA from 1 species
CGCGAAGAACCUUACCUGGUCUUGACAUCCACAGAACUUUCCAGAGAUGGAUUGGUGCCUUCGGGAACUGUGAGACAGGUGCUGCAUGGCUGUCGUCAGCUCGUGUUGUGAGAUGUUGGGUUAAGUCCCGCAACGAGCGCAACCCUUAUCCUUUGUUGCCAGCGGUCCGGCCGGGAACUCAAAGGAGACUGCCAGUGAUAAACUGGAGGAAGGUGGGGAUGACGUCAAGUCAUCAUGGCCCUUACGACCAGGGCUACACACGUGCUACAAUGGCGCAUACAAAGAGAAGCGACCUCGCGAGAGCAAGCGGACCUCAUAAAGUGCGUCGUAGUCCGGAUUGGAGUCUGCAACUCGACUCCAUGAAGUCGGAAUCGCUAGUAAUCGUGGAUCAGAAUGCCACGGUGAAUACGUUCCCGGGUCUUGUACACACC